CGCUGUCACAUUCAAACAGGCAGCGGUGCAAGGUUGCCAGUUUGGAGCUUUUUCUGUCCCCCCCUUAAAUUGGAGCCUUCAAGCUGUGGCUUGGGCUGAUUUGCAUUAUUUCGUUCUUCGUGGAGCUGAUGCUGCUGCCGCCGCUCCGCGCGGAAAUAACGAGAUUCCACUCGCAGCUCGGGACUGACUUUAGAGGGCAGAAGAUUUUCACCCUGAACAACUUGGUGUUUGGAGCCAUUCAUCUUCCCCUCUACACUGACCAGAACCUCUGUCCAGGCUGUGGCAUGAUGUAGCACUUCAAUAAGUUUACCAGUGUCAUUCCUCCAGUAAAGCAAGAGCCAAGGCAGAGGUAGAUCAUUAAACAAUGGAUAUUUCAUCAGUCACCAACCUCACAGAGUCAACAUCUGAGCAGUCCAUAAAUCGUAUUGAAACUUACAACCUUUGGACCGUCAGGCUGAAAGAAGCACACGGCGGAUAUAUCUUCCUUUGAUUCUAAAGAAAUCUGCAAAGAAACCACGCUGAUGGGUUUGCUGAAGGACAUUUAUGAACCAAACCUCGAGCUGUCUGAUAAAUAACAGCACCAGUGUAUGCUUUUACAGCAGCAGUGCUAUAUCUGAGUCACUUGUACCAAGUGGUCAGCAGGUUUUUGCUUUUUUUCUCUCACACCUUUUGGACUCUAGAUUUAUCAUGAUGCUACUUUUUUCUGUUGCACUCCCAAGGUUUCCCACAAGCUGAUUUUGUUGACUAUUGACAACAUGCCUCUGCUCAAAUGGAGAAAAAACAGGACUUUUACUCUGCUGUUUUGUCUAAUUACAUUUACAACUUUCCUGUUCAGUUAUACUUUCCGGGACCCCUCGCUCUACUUCUUUAAGCAUGCAUUUCAUCUGUCGGACAACGUCUUCUCCAAAGGGCUAUGUGCUUGUCGACAGUGCAUAGCAGAGUUGGAGGAUGAUUCGUGGUUCGCUGAACGCUUCAAUCAGUCCAUCCACCCUCUGAUGACCAGAGAGAACAGCGUCCUCUCCGAUGAGACCUUUAAGUGGUGGCAGUGGUUGCAGUCAGAGAGGCAGCCAGCCAACUUCAGUGAAGUGGUGGAGGAGCUGUUCCAAGUCAUCCCUGAUGAGGUGCUUUACAUGGACGCCAGCUCCGAGCGCUGCAGGACCUGCGCUGUCGUGGGGAACUCUGGGAACCUGAAGGGGUCCCAUUACGGUGCCCUCAUCGACUCCAGUGACUUCAUCAUAAGAAUGAAUCAGGCUCCCACCUCCGGAUUUGAGGAAGAUGUGGGCAGAAGGACAACUCAUCACGUCAUGUAUCCAGAAAGUGCCAUCGACCUGGACAAUACCACAAGUCUGGUGCUGAUCCCUUUCAAGACUCUGGAUCUGCAGUGGAUUGUUAGUGCUCUGACCACUGGCACUAUUAAACACACAUAUUUACCCGUUAUGUCCAGGAUAAAGGCCAACAAAGAUAAGGUGUUGAUUUACAGUCCAACAUUUUUCAAAUACGUCUACGAAUCUUGGCUCGACAGUCAUGGACGGUAUCCUUCAACCGGUUUCCUCAGCUUGCUGCUCGCCAUCCACAUAUGUGAUGAGGUCAAUGUGUUUGGAUUUGGUGCAGACCAGUAUGGAAAUUGGCACCACUACUGGGAGGAGAACCAUUUGGCCGGAGCUUUCCGACACACAGGAGUCCACGAUGGAGAUUACGAAUAUAAUGUCACCCUGCUGCUGGCGGACAAGCACAAAAUCCAAAUGUUUAAAGGCAGAUGAUAGCAAGUCCAAAUGUGCAGCUGGAUGACCACCAAAUGAACCUCAGCAGCCUUUUAAUGUUUGUUAUCCGCCAAAAAGUUGUUUGGUUUUUUUUUUUCGUUUUUUUUUCGUGGUUUCCAAAGACAUUUUCACUAUUCUGCUCAGUCCAGUUUCCUGUUGUUUGCUGAAGUGGCUGCUUAACAAAUGUCACUUCUGUUGCCACACCAACAGAGCUUUUGUCUCUGUGCCCCCAGAAACAGACAAGGACAUACCAUCUACAAGACAAAAGCAGCACUGCCAUGUGAGACUGAGCAGACAACAGGAGAAAGGAGAAGAUGUCUUUUAAUAAGCAUGUUACUAUAAAAAACUAAAGUUCUGCUACAUAAUAUCUAUGUAAUCAUAUAUUGCUUUUCUAUAUGACGAUGUCUGGCACUGUGGCUGCCAGAAGCUUUGUAUGUUAAUGAUCAGACAGAGUGCCAUAAUUACUAUAUUAAUGUAUAGACAUGCAGAGGGGGGGUUUGUUCAUAGUCAUUUAGAACCUCUGUUGGAAGUUAUUCAAGUCCAAACUGAUGCCCAACAAAUGUAAAAGUAUUCAAGAUGAAACCCUAUAGACUAAAUGUCAAAUAUUCCACAAUAUGGCAUUAGUGUUAUAUUAUAGUAAUGGCAGAUGUGAGAGAAUCAGCUAUUUUUUGUCAUACUGACCAGUUUUCAAAUGCAUUACCCACACUAAAGAGCUACUUGUAACUUCCCUGAUUAUAGAUGUAAAAUAUAGCUUAAUGACACUAAAGGGACACUUAAAAUUGAGCCCAAAAUCUACCCCAAAGAAAUUAUUUUAUUACAAUGUGACAUUUACAGAAAACCCACAGGACUGCAGCCGCUUUUAUGGGAAAUACUCAAGAAUUGAGACUAAGUGUCAAAUACUUUAUCUCUACUUACAAAUUUCUGUAAUGUGGUUAAAAAUAACCAUAUUGCAAUAAUUGAUUUAUUCCUGGAUUACAUAGUCCCUUUAAGUUUUAGCUUUCAUUUUUAAGCCAGAAUGCUAGAAACAAAAUUAAGUCUCCAUCAAAUAGAGUAUAAAAAAUUUCAGACCAAAAAUCGAGGCAUUUUAACUAUGGACUGUAAAAAAUAAGUAAAUCAGGACCACCAAAAUUCACCCAGCAUGUGUACACUAAGUCCAGUGCAGGGAUCGAGAUACCAGUCUGGUUCUGGGUUUGCUGCUACUCUGGCCCAUACUGAAAUAUCUCAGCAACUAUCAGAUAAAUACAGUUUUUUAAAGAAGUUCAUAGUCUUAAGAAGAUUUGAGCUAAUGGCUUUUCUUCAUGCCAAAACAAGGUUAACACUUUAACUUUAUGUAUUUUGUUGUAUGUUGUAUGAUUUCUGUUGUGCUGUAUAUUUAGAGCUAAAUAUUAGCAUGCUAACCUGCUUAGCUAAGACGGGGAACAUGUUAAACAUUUCUUACACUAAUUAUGCUAGCAUUAUCCUAGAGAGCAUUUUAGCAUGCUGGCAUUGAGCUGCACAGCUCCACUGUGCCUCACAGAGCUGCUAAUAUAUGCUGUGUUUUUAUUUUGCCACGCUUAAUCUUAUUUUCUUCUUGUUUUGCUGGACAUUUCUGGGCUGCAGUCUUUGUGAAGUAGGUAUAGUUCUCCCAGCAAAUCAGAGCUAACAUGGAGGGACUCUAAAAAAAAGAAAAGUUGUAGAAAAUUAGUUAAACUGCCAUGUCUGUCUCUCUCCUAUGCUCCCUGUUCCACAAGGUUGCAAAUGGGGCUCAUCUUCUUAUCUUAUUUUUAUUAUUUGCAGGAUAUUUCUUGACUGUGAUCUUUAGGAAACAGAUAUGCAUCGCACAGCAAAUCAGAGCAGAGGGCUGGCCUGAAUUUCACGCAUGCAGAGCAGAGAGGCCACAUCAGACAGGAUGUAACAUGCACUUCAGCUGCAUUCACUAAAAAUACCACAAUGCUGCACCUUCCUGCAGGGUUAUGUAGAGGUGUGGGCGUGUUAAUAUGUAAAAUGUAUCUGAGGUGAAACAGAAAAUAAUGCUUUAUUGCUCUCAUUCACCGCUUUGUUCCCGUUAUCGCCACUCUCUCUCAUCACGCACACACUAGCGCACUCGCCCACUGUGGCUCUCUCUCUCUCUUGUUUAUUGAGCUGAGGUGAAGGGGGUCUGCUUUUAAUGCUUCAGUGUAACCAACAGUUGCAGCAUACAUUUAAAUUGGACACCCACUAAGUUGCUCUUCUAGAAAGAAAGAAAGAAAACUUGGUGUUUCGAAGUUUUUUUUUAAUCCACUGGGCCUACCGGAGGCCUGCAGCUAACUGUGGAUUAAGAACUGUGUUAUAGCAAAGCAAUCGAUGAGGUUUUGCCAUUGGGUGUGAUGGGAAAAUGACAGAAAGGUAUUCAGUGUUUUCAGUGUAAGACAAACAGCGGGUUUGGUAUCAUUCAUCAUGGACGCCUGACAUGUGAACCAGCCUAGACAGGGGUGCCUUAUCAUUAAAUCAGUGAUGUAGUAUACAUUUUUGAUGUACAAUGUGACACACUUUGUAAAUGAAAAAUACAUGUUAAGUGCCUUACCGUUAAAGUGUACUGUAUUGUAAUUUUCUGCCAUUGUUUAUGUUAGAGUUGUGUAAACUGUGUAAAUCUGAAAGAUUCAUAUGCUUGAUACACACAGUAUUUCUAUCUUAUUUAUUGUCAGUAAGGUGCCAACGUGUUUGGCUUUGCACUUUUUUAUGAGGUGCCGCUAUGUUGUGUCCGGACUUUAAAAUAUUAGCUUGCUGAACUUGCUCUCAACCUUCGUAUUUUUACCUGCAAAUGUCUGAUCUGAAAUGUUGUGCUCGCUCAGAUUAUCCGGGAGUUAAGCUUUGCGGGCACUUAGCUACACUAACAGGCUGUGAUUCGCUCUGUGUGCCUUGUAAUGUAAUAGAGACAUUUGUCUGGCCAGUGUCUUUUCUUCAUCUCCACACAUGAGCGGGGCAAAGACAAACCACAAUAUCUGCUCAGUUCAGUUUUUCUUGUCACCAUGAAUUCAUUCAGCUGCCACAGAAGAUUAUAGUGGUGUGCAUGUGUUCUACAGGGAAUACUGUCACCUAGUGGACAAGAACGUGUAUCAGCAUUAACGACAUUUGAUUAGUUAUUAUAACAGUAUUAACUGACACACUUCAAACUGUAUUCAUUGUUUAUUGUUUAAAUAAACUGUAAGUAGUGCA